rnacentral:rRNA from 1 species
GACGAACGCUGGCGGCGUGCUUAACACAUGCAAGUCGAACGGGAAGGCCCUGCUUUUGUGGGGUGCUCGAGUGGCGAACGGGUGAGUAACACGUGAGUAACCUGCCCUUGACUUUGGGAUAACUUCAGGAAACUGGGGCUAAUACCGGCUAGGAGCUCCUGCUGCAUGGUGGGGGUUGGAAAGUUUCGGCGGUUGGGGAUGGACUGGCGGCUUAUCAGCUUGUUGGUGGGGUAGUGGCUUACCAAGGCUUUGACGGGUAGCCGGCCUGAGCGGGUGACAGGCCCAACUGGGCUUGGGCUACGGCCCAGACUACUACGGGAGGCAGGAGUGGGGAAGAGUGUACAAGGGGAGGAAGGCAGAUGUAGCAAAGCCGUGUGCGGGAAGACGGCCUUCGGGUUGUAAACUGAUUCCGCCUGUGACGAAGCGUGAGUGACGGUAACGGGUAAAGAAGCACCGGCUAACUCCGUG